UUUGGCUCAGAUUGAACGCUGGCGGCAGGCUUAACACAUGCAAGUCGAGCGGUAGCAGGGAGAAAGCUUGCUUUCUCCGCUGACGAGCGGCGGACGGGUGAGUAAUGUCUGGGGAUCUGCCUGAUGGAGGGGGAUAACUACUGGAAACGGUAGCUAAUACCGCAUAACGUCGCAAGACCAAAGUGGGGGACCUUCGGGCCUCAUGCCAUCAGAUGAACCCAGAUGGGAUUAGCUAGUAGGUGGGGUAAUGGCUCACCUAGGCGACGAUCCCUAGCUGGUCUGAGAGGAUGACCAGCCACACUGGAACUGAGACACGGUCCAGACUCCUACGGGAGGCAGCAGUGGGGAAUAUUGCACAAUGGGCGCAAGCCUGAUGCAGCCAUGCCGCGUGUAUGAAGAAGGCCUUCGGGUUGUAAAGUACUUUCAGUAGGGAGGAAGGUGUGAGCGUUAAUAGCGUUCACAAUUGACGUUACCUACAGAAGAAGCACCGGCUAACUCCGUGCCAGCAGCCGCGGUAAUACGGAGGGUGCAAGCGUUAAUCGGAAUUACUGGGCGUAAAGCGCACGCAGGCGGUUUGUUAAGUUGGAUGUGAAAUCCCCGGGCUUAACCUGGGAACUGCAUCCAAGACUGGCAAGCUAGAGUCUCGUAGAGGGAGGUAGAAUUCCAGGUGUAGCGGUGAAAUGCGUAGAGAUCUGGAGGAAUACCGGUGGCGAAGGCGGCCUCCUGGACGAAGACUGACGCUCAGGUGCGAAAGCGUGGGGAGCAAACAGGAUUAGAUACCCUGGUAGUCCACGCUGUAAACGAUGUCGAUUUGGAGGUUGUGCCCUUGAGGCGUGGCUUCCGAAGCUAACGCGUUAAAUCGACCGCCUGGGGAGUACGGCCGCAAGGUUAAAACUCAAAUGAAUUGACGGGGGCCCGCACAAGCGGUGGAGCAUGUGGUUUAAUUCGAUGCAACGCGAAGAACCUUACCUACUCUUGACAUCCAGCGAAUCCUGUAGAGAUACGGGAGUGCCUUCGGGAACGCUGAGACAGGUGCUGCAUGGCUGUCGUCAGCUCGUGUUGUGAAAUGUUGGGUUAAGUCCCGCAACGAGCGCAACCC
rnacentral:rRNA from 1 species